UUUUGGGAGGCUCUGUUUGUGUUUGGAUAAGGCCGAGGGAAGAGAGCUCGAGCGGCGGAGCGGAGUAGGUGAUUCCAUAUGUUCAUGGCGAGUCCAUUCCUCCACCGCAGGAUUUUGAUUUCUCAUCCCUUUCUCUUCGAUCUCCGGCUUCCGCGGGCUUCUGCUGCUGCUUCUGCGGCUGUUGUAUCUUGUUGAUGCAUUUCUUGCCAUGUCUGCAGAAUUUUCAAUGUAAGAAGGUGAGGCGGGUGAAGGGGUUGAAGAAUAUGGGUACAAGUAGAAGUGUUUCUGACCUGGUGAUCUUCCUGGGUUUUCCCCCAAUGUUUUGGCUGUUUGGUGGGUCGCAAGCUGAUGGGCAGUUGUUCGCUAUGGUCCAAGGUAUUGUGGUUCAGGUUUAGUUGAAACCGGGUAACAGUUUAGCCCGACCCGUUUUUUAGAAAUAGAAAACAUACAGUCGCCGGGAUGGGGUUUUUUGGACAUACAAGUGUCCUCUGUUUAUCUGUCAGGAAAUGUGAAUGUUACCGAAUUGAAAAACAGUCAAGUGCUAAAUAGACACUCCCUACAUUUACUACUAAACCAACACGGACACGGCUGCUACAGAUUCCUAAUUCAAUUAGAAACCUGACACACAUACAUGUACUAGGAAACUACAAACCGACUCAAGAUAGCUUUCCUAUUCUAGUACUAACACACAUACACUUUUCAAACUAAUUA